rnacentral:lncRNA from 1 species
GUUCGCUGGCGCCCGGAUGUCUGAGCUCUGGCUCCGCUCUGGCUCCGGCUCCCUCCGCAGCCUGCGGGCGGGGCUCCCAGCCCAUCCGGAGCCUCGCGGCGCCCCUGCCGCUCUGCCAGCAGCGCGGCCUCCCGGUUCCCAGCCUCCCGGCCUGGGGGGCCCCCCCGCCCAGCCGAGUUGCUGACCCGACUGCUUUCCCGCUGCCCCCAGCUGCGCUCGGGCCGCUGCAGCCUCGGCGCGCCCCCACCCCGCUUCCUGCCUCGGCAGCUUUGCCCGGACCGGGCGGCCGCCCUGGAUCGCACCCCGUUCCUUCCUUCCUUCAUUCUUUCAGGCAACUCGCAUUCCUCGAGCGCCUGCGACGUGCCCCGUACAAGGCCUCUCCGACCUUCGGAGUGUGGCCCACCGGGGUCCUCCCAGAAGCCUCUGCCCUCCUCACCCCGCCCUGGACUCUCCUCUCUGAUGUCCUGUUUCACUCAGAGGGUAGCAUUUAAUUGUUCUCUGAUUAUUUCUCCUGUUAAGGGUCAGUCGGUGGCAAGGUCAAGGGAGGGCUUUGUGACCGAAAUCAGGGGUCAGUCUGAAAGUAGGGUGAGGGAUCAGAAUGUGGCCAGAGUUGGGGUUCAGCCAAACCGUGGCAGGAUUUGGAGAUAGUGUGGGUAGGAGUUGGCAGCGCUCUGUCUAUGGCCAGGCUUUAUAGACAGGGAGGGUGUGAGGGUUAGUGUGAAUAGCAUCAGUAGCCAAGAUUAGUGAGUCAGUCUUUCGGUAGGGUCAGUGGACAAUCUGGAUCAGGGUAAUAGGUCACCCAGAGACCAGGAUUUGGGGGUUGACUUUGACAAGCCAGUUAAGGGGAGGAGGGCGCUGUAGCUUUCUGAACUCACAUUAGUGGUUCCUCUGUGGGCAGGGGGUGGGGGUGGUGGUGACCAUAGCUUCCCCCUGCAUCGUCCAGGUGGAGCUGGCCUUCCGUCUAGGACACUCAUUGUCCUCAACAACACCCUGCUUUGAUCAUGUGCCAGAUGUAGGGGAGGGGUAGGUAAGGGGGGCAAAACUCUCAUUGGAUCAGACCAUGGUCAGAAUGGCAGUAACACUGGCCAUGGCAGGGAGGCCCUAGGUGUCCCAGGAACCCCAUCUUGGAGUCACCCAUGUUUAACAGGGCCCCUGGCAGGUCUUACAGUGGGACCAGAUGUAUGAAGGCAUUGACUUAAAAAAUAUGCACAACCUUAAAGCUCUUUUAAAUCUUUGUACAAACCAACGCCGCAUAGAAUGGUCUUCAAACAGCCAUCACAGCCCUGCUGUGCUUUCUGUGAGUUCGGGAAUCAGACAGAUGCUGGUUGAAAAUGCGGGCUUUGUCGUCUAGCAGCUUUCCCAUCACAGGUAAGUCAUUUAUGCUCCCAGAGCCUCCGUGGUUACUGUGAUGAUUCAAGUAGAUGACAUAUGUAAAGCACCUGGCACUUGGGAGGCCCUGGGUGACCCCCCACCCCAGGGCCUGCUGGGCAUGGUUGUCAGAUUCCUCACAGAAUUCUUCCAUCAUCUCUCCUGGUGGUGGUGUGGUUGGCCCAGUCCAGUCACAGCAUCUCAGCACUGCCUGUCCAGCCUCUGUGCUCUUCAGAGCCCUUCCACACACAUGCAGGAGUAUCUGAUCAGCAGGACAGCUCGGUGCAGGGACUGAAAAACUGGGGCUGCACCCCGGGGUCCCCACUCUUAGGCUCUGCCACUUCGAACAAGCUCUUUCACCUCUCUGAGCCUCAGAGAGCCACCACAGAGCCCUGCUGAGGGUUUAGUGAGGAACUAAAGGCAAGCAUCUAGGGGCCUGCUAGCACGUGGAGGCACUCAGUAAGUCAGAGGCAGAGUUAGGAAUAGUCCUAUUUCACAGAAGAAGAAACUGAGUCCCUCAGGGGGUAAGUGAUUCAUCCAGUGUCAUGUGGAAAGAUCCCUUCACAGACCUGGGAUUAAAAACCACAUCUUCAGAGUUCCCCUUUGUGGCUCAGCAGGUUAAGAACCCAACAAUUGUCUGUGAGGAUGUGGGUUCAAUCCGGGGCCUUGCUCGGUGAGUUAAGGGUCUGGCAUUGCCACAAGCUGUGGUGUAGGUGGCAGAUGAGGCUCAGAGCUGGCAUUGCUGUGCCUGUGGUGUAUGCCAGUAGCUGCAGCUCAGAUUUGACCCCUAGCCGGGGAACUUCAAUGUGCCGCAGGUACAGCCAUUAAAACAAAACAAAACAAAACAAAAAAAA